rnacentral:rRNA from 1 species
UACGUAGGGGGCAAGCGUUGUCCGGAUUUACUGGGCGUAAAGCGCGUGUAGGCGGCCAUGCAGGUCCGUUGUGAAAACUAGAGGCUCAACCUCUAGACGUCGACGGAAACCGUGUGGCUAGAGUCCGGAAGAGGAGAGUGGAAUUCCUGGUGUAGCGGUGAAAUGCGCAGAUAUCAGGAAGAACACCAAUGGCGAAGGCAGCUCUCUGGGACGGUACUGACGCUGAGACGCGAAAGCGUGGGGAGCGAACAGGAUUAGAAACCCCCGUAGUCC